GAUACACUGUGGAUGACCAAUCCCUGCAGCUGUCCAAGGCCAGGUUGGACAGGGCUUGGAGCAACCUGGGAGAGUGAAAGGUGACAGUGAAAGGGGUUUGGAAGAAGAUGGUCUUUAAAGUCCCUUCCAACCCAAAGCAAUCUAGGGCUUUGUGGUUAUUUUAAAUAAUAUCUAGUUUAUGGUAACCAAACUGUGCUGGUUCAUGGUUGACAUCCCAGUUUGGGUUUGUACUUGGAUCAAGUACAAGUGACUUAAGAAUGGGCUUGAAAGUUUCAUCCUUGGCUCAUAAUUAGGGACAUGAGGAGCCUGAUGCUUCCCACGAUGUUAAGCAAGGGGAGUGUGUAACUGUCUGGUCAAAGGACUGAUCAGGAGGGUCUUCUCUACAUCAUGGGGCUUGGGGCAAAAAGACUUUCAAGCUGCUAUGGGAAACAUAGCCUUUUUUUCCAUGCAGGCAAAGAUAAUUUAAAUCACCUUCACUUGCUUAUUUCACUGUUGCCUCUUUAUUUUAUCUUAUUUGUUUGGAUUUCUUAUAAAGAAAAUGAGUCAUCAUGAGCACUGCAUCUGCUUAAUCAGCCUGGGCUUGACUGUCGACUUCUGUAAACCUUGAGCAGAUUGUACAGCAGGUCAAUGUCCUGCAUUUCUGGCUGCUUCCUAAAGUGUUGUCCUGUCCUUUGCCUUCUCAGGUCCUCUUCUUGACCUCAGAUUACUUUUGGAAACAGUCUGAAAAGAAGUCCCCAUUCAGUGAGAUUUCUUACAAAUUUAAAGUAGUUCAAAGGUGCAACCAAAAAGUAAGAAAACCCGAUUUCUUCUCCAACACAGCACAAUUUGUCUAAAUGCUCCAAGACUGGUGACAUUGUUCUACUCGCCAAACCUGUAACUUUAACAGAGGGUGACAGGGUGACCUUGACGACAGAUGUUCCUGUGGCAACAGAUGGCACUAGCAAACCCGAGAAGCUGCUGUAUGCCGUCUCCCUGCCACCUGUGCAUGGUCAGAUUGAGCACAUCAAUUAUCCCGGCGUGCCCAUUUCCAGUUACAGCCAGUUGGAUGUGGUGGCCCAGAAGGUCUCCGACGUCCACGACAAUAGCCAUGGGGCCAGUAAGGAGGUACUCAGGUGCAGCAGUGGAACGAAUCUUCUCCAAAACUCCUACAAAGGAUAAGCCCCACCACCCUGCAGGACCUGUGUGUUGGGUCAGUGUAGGACACCAGGAACCCCUCACAUUAGCAAGCCACUCACUUUCUCAGCAAAAAUCAGGAUCUCAUUUCCAGCCU